UUCCCUUUCAGCAAUGAAUCAACUUGAAAAGGUGGUAGCAAAUCUCACAUGAAAGGCCAGAAAAAAGCUUAAAAAUACACACACACACACACAUUUAGUUGUUUGGUUCCCGGAUCACAUCCCGUCACAAUUGAAAUAGCUAUGCUCCAUUAAUUUUAUGCAGCAUUUUGAUUCAUCAUUCGGAACAAAUCCAUUUAGGAAGAUGAUAUCUUAUAUCUCAAUAUGAAAUGUAAAAAUGAUGUUUUACUAUUAAUAAUAGGGUUAGGUGAAUUUAGACUG
rnacentral:misc_RNA from 1 species